GAUUAACGCUGGCGGCGUGCAUAACACAUGCAAGUCGAACGAUGAAACUUUAAUGAACCCUUCGGGGAGAAUUAAAGCGGAUUAGUGGCGAACGGGUGAGUAACGCGUGAGUAACCUGCCUUACACAAGGGGAUAGCCUUUGGAAACGAAGAAUAAUACCCUAUAAAACCAUAAAAGCACAUGCAAUUAUGGUCAAAGUGAUAGCGGUGUAAGAUGGACUUGCGUCUGAUUAGCUAGUUGGUGAGAUAAAAGCCCACCAAGGCAACGAUCAGUAGCCGGCUUGAGAGAGUGUACGGCCACAUUGGGACUGAGACGCGGCCCAGACUCCUACGGGAGGCAGCAGUGGGGAAUUUUGCACAAUGGGGGAAACCCUGAUGCAGCGACGCCGCGUGAUUUAGAAGGCCUUCGGGUUGUAAAAAUCUUUUGUAUAGGAAGAAAAUGACAGUACUAUACGAAUAAGGUCCGGCUAAUUACGU
rnacentral:rRNA from 1 species